ensembl:lncRNA
AUGAUUGUUGGGGGGAGGGGAGGGAGGUACAGAAUUCAGGUGACAGUCCCUCCUUCCCUCAUAGUCUGUGACGCUGUCCUGCUUACAAGAAAACUGGAAAUGCAAAAUAAAGAAGAGACCAUUGUGGGAUUAGUCAGGAAAAUUUUCCUUGAUCAGGUCAGUCAGAGCUGUCAGCAUGACCCCCUCCAGCCGACUAGCAGCACUUUAUUACCAGAAGCGGUCUCCGAAUGUGACUAACAGGGAAAGGGAUGGGAGGUGGAUACUGGACAAGGACAGACUCAAGGGAUGACCUCUUCAGUUUGCACAGACAUAGGGUGUUGGUCAGAAAGGCAGGAUCAGAAUCCAUAAUAUCACAAAGGGCCUAGAGAGGGGGAACAAAGAUAUCUGAAACCUAGACCCCAGAAUGAGGCCCCAGCCUUAAGGCUUGAGGAGGGUAAGUGGAGAACAAAUAAUUCUUUAAAUCAAAGAAGUGGGUCAAAUGAAAAAUGUCAAUCAAUGUCAAAAUCAAAAAGGUUUGAUUUUCAUAAAAGUGCAGGUUUACAAAGGAAUUAUUAAGGAAAGCUAGGUGUGUUUGGAGGACCUUUUAAACUUUUGAGAUUAAUGUCAGGGAAGACCCCCCCCCAAAAAAGGCCAUCUCAAAUUAUACGAAGCUGAAUCUUAUGUACCCAUAAAAGAAAAAAAUUGGGAUGAACUUUCGGGUAACUUAAGUUGGGUUAAACACUGUAUUUACUUGGUCUUCACUGGGUAAAGGGGAGAGCAGAUUUAGCAACAAACUGGGGCAAGAAGGCACCAGUACAGAACAAUGGGGCACACAAGCCAGCCACCUUAUCAGUUUUCCUAACUGACUUUCAGAGUCUGAGCUUACCCAAAAAAUGAACUAAUUAGUAUAUUACAAAGACUCCAAGUAGACGACAUAUCUGGGGCUAUGAAUAUAACCAAGUCAGUGUGCUAGAAUCCUAGACAACUUUAAGGAUUAAAUUAAAAGAGCUUAGAUAAUGCAUACUGUGUGACCGUUUUCAUCUUUAUGUACUGAUAAUUUUAUUUUUGAGUUUGUAUUCUUUUCCCUCACAAAUAAACCCUAGAAAACACCUUGUUGUUGUCUGGAA